rnacentral:rRNA from 1 species
UACAGAGGGUGCGAGCGUUAAUCGGAAUUACUGGGCGUAAAGCGCACGUAGGCGGAUUGUUAAGUCGGGGGUGAAAUCCUGGAGCUCAACUCCAGAACUGCCUUCGAAACUGGCGAUCUUGAGUCCGGGAGAGGUGAGUGGAACUGCGAGUGUAGAGGUGAAAUUCGUAGAUAUUCGCAAGAACACCAGUGGCGAAGGCGGCUUCCUGGACCAGUACCGACGUCAGGCACGAAAGCGUGGGGAGCAAACAGG